CCUACGGGUGGCAGCAGUGGGGAAUAUUGCACAAUGGGCGAAAGCCUGAUCCAGCAACGCCGCGUGAGCGAUGAAGGCCUUCGGGUCGUAAAGCCCUGUCCUCCAGGAAGAUAAUGACGGUACUUGAGGAGGCAGCCCCGGCUAACUGCGUGCCAGCAGCCGCGGUAAGAGGUAGGGGGCUCGCGUUACCCGGAAUUAUUGGGCGUAAAGGGUGCGUAGGUGGUUUCUUAGGUCAGAGGUGAAAGGCUAGGGCUCAACCGUAGUAAGCCUUGGAAACUGGGAAACUUGCGUGCAGGAGAGGAGAGUGGAAUGCGUAGUGUAGCGGUGAAAUGCGUAGAUAUUAGGAGGAACACCAGUUGCGAAGGCGGCUCUCUGGACUGUAACUGACACUGAGGCACGAAAGCGUGGGGAGCAAACAGGAUUAGAUACCCUAGUAGUC
rnacentral:rRNA from 1 species